GAUGAACGCUGGCGGCGUGCUUAACACAUGCAAGUCGAACGGAAAGGCUCCUGCUUGCAGGGGUACUCGAGUGGCGAACGGGUGAGUAACACGUGGGUGAUCUGCCCUGCACUUCGGGAUAAGCCUGGGAAACUGGGUCUAAUACCGGAUAGGACGAUGGUUUGGAUGCCAUUGUGGAAAGUUUUUCGGUGUGGGAUGAGCUCGCGGCCUAUCAGCUUGUUGGUGGGGUAAUGGCCUACCAAGGCGUCGACGGGUAGCCGGCCUGAGAGGGUGUACGGCCACAUUGGGACUGAGAUACGGCCCAGACUCCUACGGGAGGCAGAAGUGGGGAAUAUUGCACAAUGGGCGCAAGCCUGAUGCAGCGACGCCGCGUGGGGGAUGACGGCCUUCGGGUUGUAAACUCCUUUCGUCAGGGACGAAGCGAAAGUGACGGUACCUGGAUAAGAAGCACCGGCUAACUACGUG
rnacentral:rRNA from 1 species